rnacentral:rRNA from 1 species
GACGAACGCUGGCGGCGUGCCUAAUACAUGCAAGUCGAACGCAGUGGGGACGGGUGAGUAACACGUGGGUAACCUCCCAUCAGAGGGGAUACCACUUGGAAACAGGUGCUAAACCGAUACUGAUGGAUGGACCCGCGGUGCAUGCGCUAGUUGGUGGGGUAACGGCUCACUAAGGCCACGAUGCAGAGCCGACCUGGGAGGGUGAGCGGCCAAACUGGGACGUAGACACGGCCCAGACUCCUACUGUAGGCAGCAGUAGGGAAUCUGCGGCAAUGGACGAAAGUCUGACCGAGCAACGCCGCGUGAGUGAAGAAGGUGUUCGGAUCGUAAAGCUCUGUUGUUAAGGAAGCGGUACUUAACCAGAAAGGGACGGCUAACUACGUGCCAGCAGCCGCGGUAAUAC